GGUGGAGCGAUUUGUCUGGUUUAUUCCGAUAACGAGCGAGACUCUAGCCUGCUAACUAGUGUCCAGAUAUGUAGGUCUGGCUUACUUCUUAGAGGGAUAAGCGGUGUUUAGCCGCACGAGAUUGAGCGAUAACAGGUCUGUGAUGCCCUUAGAUGUUCGGGGCUGCACGCGCGCUACACUGGAAGAAUCAGCUGGUCCUUCCAUUGCCGAAAGGUAUUGGUAAACCGUUGAAACUCUUCCGUGACCGGGAUAGGGAAUUGUAAUUAUUUCCCUUGAACGAGGAAUUCCUAGUAAGUGUGAGUCAUCAGCUCACGUUGAAUACGUCCCUGCCCUUUGUAC
rnacentral:rRNA from 1 species